GGCAGUUCAAGCCUGCAAAGACUGCUGGUUAUACAGGAUAUCUGGGUAUAACUAACCCAACACAUUUGCAUACAAGAGGAAGCGAGGAACAUAUGAAGAGUUAAGGGAAGGAAAGAAUUUUCGGUUUGACCACACGUCGUGUCCAGAGCACAGUGCUAUAGCCAGUUGUCUCUGGGAAAGCUUUUAUUCCAGAGGAAAAAAUAUAGACGAAACUCUGGGUGUCCACACUGUUGGUGAUAAAAGUGAUACAACCUUGCGUUUCCUGGUUGGGCUGCUCAGAGAAAAAGUAUGUAACAACGUGGAAAAAGGUCCAGGAUUGUCAUGUUGAAUCUGCAUGUACUUACCUAACUAUAAUGCUGUGAAGACACAUAGCUGUACAUUUGUCCUAGUCUCCUGACUUUUUCUAUUUUUGUUUUUAGACAAAGUCCGUCUCUGUCGCCCAGGCUGGAGUGCAGUGGUACCAUCA